ACAGGAGCACGAUUCUACGGGAGGCAGCAGUGGGGAAUUUUGGACAAUGGGGGCAACCCUCGCUAUCUCAGCCAUGCCGCGUGAGUGAAGAAGGCCUUCGGGUUGUAAAGCUCUUUCAGCCGGGAAGAAAACGCAUGGGUUAAUACCCUGUGUGGAUGACGGUACCGGAAUAAGAAGCACCGGCUAACUACGUGCCAGCAGCCGCGGUAAUACGUAGGGUGCGAGCGUUAAUCGGAAUUACUGGGCGUAAAGCGUGCGCAGGUGGUUUGUUAAGAUAGGCGUGAAAUCCCCGGGCUCAACCUGGGAACUGCGUUUAUGAUUGGCAGGCUAGAGUAUGGCAGAGGGGGGUGGAAUUCCACGUGUAGCAGUGAAAUGCGUAGAGAUGUGGAGGAACACCGAUGGCGAAGGCAGCCCCCUGGGCCAAUACUGACGCUCAUGCACGAAAGCGUGGGUAGCAAACAGGAUUAGAUACCCUGGUAGUCCACGCCCUAAACGAUGUCAACUAGGUGUUGGGAGGGUAAAACCUUUUAGUACCGGAGCUAACGCGUGAAGUUGACCGCCUGGGGAGUACGGCCGCAAGGUUAAAACUCAAAGGAAUUGACGGGGACCCGCACAAGCGGUGGAUGAUGUGGAUUAAUUCGAUGCAACGCGAAAAACCUUACCUACCCUUGACAUGUCCGGAAGCCCUUAGAGAUUUGGGUGUGCUCGAAAGAGAGCCGGAACACAGGUGCUGCAUGGCUGUCGUCAGCUCGUGUCGUGAGAUGUUGGGUUAAGUCCCGCAACGAGCGCAACCCUUGUCGUUAAUUGCCAUCAUUUAGUUGGGCACUUUAACGAGACUGCCGGUGACAAACCGGAGGAAGGUGGGGAUGACGUCAAGUCCUCAUGGCCCUUAUGGGUAGGGCUUCACACGUCAUACAAUGGUCGGUACAAAGGGUUGCCAACCCGCGAGGGGGAGCUAAUCCCAGAAAGCCGAUCGUAGUCCGGAUCGUAGGCUGCAACUCGCCUGCGUGAAGUCGGAAUCGCUAGUAAUCGUGGAUCAGCAUGUCACGGUGAAUACGUUCCCGAUCACAGUAUGA
rnacentral:rRNA from 1 species